rnacentral:rRNA from 1 species
UACGGGAGGCAGCAGUGGGGAAUAUUGCACAAUGGGCGCAAGCCUGAUGCAGCGACGCCGCGUGAGGGAUGACGGCCUUCGGGUUGUAAACCUCUUUCAGUAGGGAAGAAGCGAAAGUGACGGUACCUGCAGAAGAAGCACCGGCUAACUACGUGCCAGCAGCCGCGGUAAUACGUAGGGUGCGAGCGUUAUCCGGAAUUAUUGGGCGUAAAGAGCUCGUAGGCGGUUUGUCGCGUCUGUCGUGAAAGUCCGGGGCUUAACCCCGGAUCUGCGGUGGGUACGGGCAGACUAGAGUGCAGUAGGGGAGACUGGAAUUCCUGGUGUAGCGGUGGAAUGCGCAGAUAUCAGGAGGAACACCGAUGGCGAAGGCAGGUCUCUGGGCUGUAACUGACGCUGAGGAGCGAAAGCAUGGGGAGCGAACAGGAUUAGAUACCCUGGUAGUCCAUGCCGUAAACGUUGGGCACUAGGUGUGGGGACCAUUCCACGGUUUCCGCGCCGCAGCUAACGCAUUAAGUGCCCCGCCUGGGGAGUACGGCCGCAAGGCUAAAACUCAAAGGAAUUGACGG